rnacentral:rRNA from 1 species
UUUUCCUACGGGGCGCAGCAGUCGGGAAUAUUGCGCAAUGGAGGAAACUCUGACGCAGUGACGCCGCGUAUAGGAAGAAGGUUUUCGGAUUGUAAACUAUUGUCGUUAGGGAAGAAAAAAGACAGUACCUAAGGAGGAAGCUCCGGCUAACUACGUGCCAGCAGCCGCGGUAAUACGUAGGGAGCAAGCGUUAUCCGGAAUUAUUGGGUGUAAAGGGUGCGUAGACGGGAGUCUAAGUUAGUUGUGAAAUCCCUCGGCUCAACUGAGGAACUGCAACUAAAACUGGUUUUCUUGAGUGUUGGAGA